UACGGGGGGAGCAAGCGUUGUUCGGAUUUACUGGGCGUAAAGGGCGCGUAGGCGGUCAGCACAAGUCAGUUGUGAAAUCUCCGGGCUUAACUCGGAAAGGUCAACUGAUACUGUGCGACUAGAGUGCAGAAGGGGCAACUGGAAUUCUCGGUGUAGCGGUGAAAUGCGUAGAUAUCGAGAGGAACACCUGCGGCGAAGGCGGGUUGCUGGGCUGACACUGACGCUGAUGCGCGAAAGCGUGGGGAGCAAAAGGG
rnacentral:rRNA from 1 species